UUUCCAGUGAGAAAUCACCAAGUUUGGUCAUGCUUCCCAAACUCCUGAUCCUAAAAGUCACUAAGGGGCUUCUUAAAAAUACAGACCGCUCUGGGCCAGUCCCGUGGCUGAGUGGUGAAGUUCACGAGCUCUGCUUCGGUGGCCCAGGGUUUCACCAGUUUGGAUCCUGGGCGUGGACCUAGCACCACUCAUCAGGCCAUGCUGAGGUGGCAUCCCAUAUAGCACAACGAGAGGCACUCAACUAGAAUAUACAACAAUGUACUGGGGGGCUUUUGGGAGAAGAAGAAGAAAAAAAAGAUUGGCAACAGAUGUUAGCCCAGGUGCCCAGCUUAAAAAAAAAAACACAGACCCCUGGCCCCAACCCAGAUCCACUAGACCCAGAAAUCUGUAUUUUCAACAAAUGCUCUGGAGCUUCUUGUCUUCCUGGGAGCAGACGUCCUGUGGGGUCUGACACAGUUUACACCACAAAGGAAAGAAGCCAGCUGGGCUGGGGCCCAAGCAAGGCUGCCAGGGCCAAGCCCCAUGCCAUGAUGAUACAAGGAGAAGAAGGUGGUAGUGGAGGCUUCAUGUGGUCUCGAGAGGCACUCCCAAGAUCCUCCUCCAGGGGCUUUGGAUGUGAGAGGUGACAGUGUUGAACUUUACCUCUCAGCUCCUGGAAAACAGCAACAGUUAAAUCUGUCCAGCCUUUUGUGCUCUGGGAAAUGGCUUACUGCAAAGGACCACUCUUCCCGACAGGACAGGUGAUGGUCAGUCAGGUGUGGCCACAAGAGUGGACACAGAGAGGCCUAGGAAGACAAAGUUUGUUUGAGACAGAGUCACUGCACACCAGAGGCUCCACAAAGGAGGAGUGCCAAGGGCGUGGGCUCAUCCAAGCAGGUGGGAGGACCCCCGGGUGAGUGCUUUUAUUGGGGAUCAGGGUGGAGUACACAGGAGUAGGCGUGAGGGGAUAUCACUGGUGCAUUUGAAUGUCACUAGGUCAUGUUUGGGGGACGGCAAAAGGGAAGCCCCUUGUGUCGGGGACAGACUUAUCACUCAGGUCACCUGGGUGGGGUGCUCACAGCCUGUUUGUGGGGAUGUUGAGGCAGCAGGAAAAUAUGAAGUUUCAAAAUUUAUAAUACAACUGACCCUGUAGUGACUCAACAUCAUUAACAAUACUAAUUGGGAUGGAUGAUGUUUACCACCUGGAUUGCGGCCGAGAUGACUUGACUUAGCCACUCAAGGCAAACUUUGAUAAAGGUGACAAUGAGGAAGAGUCCUUUGAGUGUAUGAAGAGGGUUUGGAACCCAGUUCGCAAGCAGGCACCCCGCUUUGUGGGGGAAAGCCAAGAGAACAGGUCAGGCACCUCUGGAUUUAAGGGAAUCUGGUGGAAGGUUUUGGUUAUGCUAUGAAAGAUUUUUACCUCUUGACCUAAUCAUCGUAGUCUGGCCUGUAGCUGUCCAGAAGUAUUAAUGUAUGUACAGCAAGAAGUGCCCUGAAUGGCAUAGAUGCCUCCUUUCCUGGCUAGUAAAUAGUCAAAACCCCUCUGUUAUCCAUGACCAUUUGGGCUUAGAGACCCGUGGGCAUGUUGCAUAAGGGAGAACAUUUUGUAACCACUGUUUCACUCGGGAAAUGUUUGGGGGAGUCAGCAAGGAAAAAUAUACGAGGUGCUGUGCCCAUGAGUUGGGGUCAAAGAUGCUGUUAUUCAGAGCAUAAUACACCCAUGGGGAUGUUUUCCUAAAGAGGGUGAAGGCCCCAGUGUAGGGAACUGGUCAUGUGUAGUUGGCUCCUGGGCACAAACAAUAAGCAUGAAGGGGUGACUUGAUUAUAAUGGGCAGUCGUCCCGGCUGAGUACCGUCAGGAAUGAAAGCACUCGGUGUAUUUAAGCGAAUGGAGGCUUUGGGAGUUUUCAUUGGAAGCCAUGAUAGAACUUGGCAGAGCACAGUAUCAGCAGAGAGGAUGUGGAGGUGGGAUCCCAGGUCUAGAGGCACUUGGUGGCAGGCCCAGCAGUUGUGAAGGGCUGGGGCCAUGGCCGAAACUUCGGCAGCCUGUACAUAUGUGUUGGAGGUCUUGGUCUGUUGCCAGGGUGGCAUGGCGGUGGUUGUAAUACAGGUGAGAGGAAGACAUAAAGUGGAGGUGUUUUUGGGAGUGGUGUGCAUGAGUAUCUGUUCCUGGGCACCAGCCUCAGGAGUGCUAGGAUGUGUGGGUGGCCCUACUGUGGCUGGUGAUGCAGGGGAAUAAAUCAUGGGAAAUCUUUAGAAAGGCACAUAAGAAUGGCAAAUCUGGGGGUUAAAGGCUAGACAUGGCACAGAAGACUUUUGUUUUGAGGAGGGACUCCCUGCUGGGUGGCAUUUAAGAUGCAAUGCUUUGCAUCCCACAGAGGGUUAAUGUGCCCUAUGGCUGCUCUGCACUCACGGGGUUAUGAGCUCCCAAUUUCACAGGCAGUUUCCAGCCGAGCAGGACCCAGGGGUAAACAAUAAAC
rnacentral:lncRNA from 1 species